rnacentral:rRNA from 1 species
GACAGAGGGUGCAAACGUUGUUCGGAAUUACUGGGCGUAAAGCGCGUGUAGGCGGCCCUGCAAGUCGGAUGUGAAAUCCCACGGCUCAACCGUGGAAGUGCAUUCGAAACUGCAGGGCUAGAGUCCUGGAGAGGAAGGUGGAAUGCUUGGUGUAGAGGUGAAAUUCGUAGAUAUCAAGCGGAACACCGGUGGCGAAGGCGGCCUUCUGGACAGUGACUGACGCUGAGACGCGAAAGCGUGGGGAGCGAACAGG